AGCUAGUUGGUAUUGACUAUUAUUGUCAUAAUUGUUGUUUUGUGUUGUGAUUCAUGUUUUGUGCUGUGUGCUACGAAAAUGCGUAUUUGAGAUUUGCGGUUUUUACGUAUGCCACCGUAGAGUCGCAAAAAUUAACCGGGCAAUCGUAUCCCGUCCUCGUCGUUCGCUAAUGCUCGGUCGGACCAAACUGAAGGAUCGUCUCCUAUGUUUCAAACUAACCGUGCAAUCGGUGGAACACAGGUUUGCUUGUGAGAGACCGUCGACAACAAGGCAACAAUAAUGCAAAAGACAACUGAGUGCUCGUGCAAAACAUAAAAUUGCUAUCUAUUGAAUUUCGACUCCGGUGACGCUAAUAUUGCAAUAUACUAAAUUGAGAUCUCUACUGUCAACAACCGUUUGGAGCGAGCGAUUGACCAGAAACGUUCAGAACUAGCUAACAGAGGCUUUGUGUUCCAUCAGGACAACGCAAGGCUACAGAUUUCCGAGAACCUGAUUGGGAUGUUUUUAUGCAUCCACCAUAUAGUCCGGACCCGACACCGAGCAAUUACCACCUUUUCCACGCAUUGCAAAAUUUCUAGAGUGAUCAGAAGUUGGAAUGAAGAGAAGAUUGUAAAAAUCUAUUGCUAGAGUUUAUCGUCAAUAAGGACCAAGACCUGUAU